GCGGGCGGGGCGCGGCGGCCGCUCGGAGCGGACCUAAAGGCCGGCGCUCGCGGCUGGUACUCGCGGCCCCGCGUCCCACGGUCGCUGUCGCGGCAGCGGGAGAGCAGCCCGGGAUGCACCCGCUCCCGCCGCCGGUGCCCGGGCCCCUGGCCCUGCUGGACACGACAGGCUUUGUGAGAAGAAAGAAGACGGCCCUGUGGUUUGUGGGGGCUCUGCUGGUGGUGUCCGCCUCCAUCCUGACCGUCGGCCUGGCCGCGACCACGAGGACUGAGAACGUGACCGUGGGCGGCUACUAUCCCGGCAUCAUCCUGGGCUUUGGAUCUUUCUUAGGAAUUAUUGGCAUCAACCUGGUGGAGAACAGAAAACAAAUGCUGGUGGCGGCCAUCGUGUUCAUCAGCUUUGGCGUGGUGGCGGCCUUCUGCUGCGCCGUCGUGGACGGCGUGUUCGCCGCUCGGCACAUUGAGCCCAGGCCCCUCAUGGCGGGCAGGUGCCAGUUCCACUCCAGCGGAGCUGGCUACCUACACGACGUCCACCAGGUGGAGGUGACCUGUCACUCCCCGAGCGGUGGGUGUCUGCUGAAGGUGAAGAGUAACACUUGCUACUGCUGCGACCUCUAUGACUGCCAGGGUGCCCGGAGCCCCACCGUUUAUCACGAGUUUGUGGGCGUUGGCGCCUGCCGGGACGCGCUCCAUCUCUACUGGCUGCUCUGGGCCUCGGCUGUGCUCAACGUCCUGGGGCUGCUGCUGGGGGUCGUCACUGCUGCCAUCCUGGGGGCCUUCAAGGAUGCGGUCCCGCUGGCCCAGCUGGCCUACGGCCCGUCCACAGCGCCUCGGGUCCUCUAUGACCCUGCCCAGCAGAUCCUAGCCUGCUCAGGCGUCCGCCCCGGGCCCCCAGCCGUCCCAACCUGCUCGUCCUACCCGCUGCCUCUCCAGCUUUUACCAGCAGCACGUGUAAGGGCACAGUUCCAUGCACAGCAGUAAUCAGACUCCAAGGAGAUGCCGUGUGUGCCUCGUCAGGAGGAGGAGGACAGAUGGCUGCUCCCAGCUCUGCUCCCAGCGCAGGAGGAAAGGCACUCUGCAAGUGUCCGUGCAGUCACUGGCAGUGGAAAACACUCCUGCGUCACAGAGGGAGCGAGCCGCUGUUGGGAACUGUUUUGAGCAGUUAGUCAAAAGAAAACUCACAAAAGGGAACUCACCUUCCUGACUCCCUGGGCUGCCUGAUCAGGAAAUGCAGGAAUAAGGACCCACUGACAAUCAACUCACAUCCUGUAAUGAAGGGCCUUGCACGCUGUCACUAAGGGCCUUACAUCCACUGCCCGGUGGCUUCGUGGCCUCACCCGGCUCCGACCUCCC